rnacentral:RNase_P_RNA from 1 species
GUAGGGCAGUGCUCAACUACCGGUGAUUAAUCACUGAGGAAAGUCCACACACCCCUCAUUUAUUGAGGAAGUGGAGACUUACAAAAGUAAGGUCCUGAAAAGGGCGGCAACCACUCAGAAACGAGACCUCCUGAAAAGCAGGAUGACGGAUGCGAAGGCUCUUGCAAAAGAGCUGAGUUAACCUCCAGACAUUUUUUCAGGGAAGGAUGAAACGGUGAGCCCUCUCCGGUGCAACUCGAAUGAGGCUUAGUUGAAUGUUUGAGAAGGUCUGCCUAUUCUUUGUGAGUAGAGACCUACAGAAAGUGGCUUACAGCUGCUCUAC